rnacentral:lncRNA from 1 species
AUUUAAAAAGUUUUGCGUAGAUGAGACCAUAAAAAUACCCCAUAUACACAGAGCAAAAAAAUAUAACAUAUUAGUCCACUUAAUGUUCUUCAACAAUGAGAAUGAAUUAAAAAACAUACCAAAACCCCUCAAAAAAAUGUAUAAUUUGUGCAAAACAAGCAUAAUAUAUAUCAAUAAAUGAAUACAAAAUCAGUAAGAACAAAACAAAUAAAAUAAUCAAGAAUAUCAUAUCUGGUUUAAUCUUAUACUAUUAAAUGUGACGAUAUAAAAUAAACUUAAAUCACUAACAUGUUCCUUUUUCAAAUGUUACUGGCUAUCAACAGAAAAAACAAGCUACAAAACAUAAAAGUUGGCUGCCAUUCAUAAAGAUCAAAUGUAGUGAGAGAAUAACAUUACUUCUGAAAAAUAAGUACCUUAGUAAUAUGUUACAACUUUUAAAUAGAAUCAAAGAACCACUCUGCAAUCAUGGUCACUGUUUGUUCAUUCAUAGUUGCAAAACUAAGGAAUAGACCAUGCUGAGUUUUCAAACAUUGAAGAGCUAAGAACAAUCAUACCACACACAGUUUAAAGAUUAAAAUUUAACAAAUUCAAAAGAUUAAUGGUCACUAAAUAUAUUUAUCUUCGUACAACAACUCAAGAAAACAUAACAAAUGUACAAUGUACCUAUCAGUUUAAUAGUUAUAACACAAAUUCAUCUCUAACAUUUUUAUCCUUUUUUA